GCCAGUGUGGUGUAGUGGUUUGAGCAUUGGACUAUGAUUCUGGAGAGCAGGGUUCGAAUUCCUGCUUGGCCA